GACGAACGCUGGCGGCGUGCUUAACACAUGCAAGUCGAGCGGAAAGGCCCUGCUUUUGUGGGGUGCUCGAGUGGCGAACGGGUGAGUAACACGUGAGUAACCUGCCCUUGACUUUGGGAUAACUUCAGGAAACUGGGGCUAAUACCGGAUAGGAGCUCCUGCUGCAUGGUGGGGGUUGGAAAGUUUCGGCGGUUGGGGAUGGACUCGCGGCUUAUCAGCUUGUUGGUGGGGUAGUGGCUUACCAAGGCUUUGACGGGUAGCCGGCCUGAGAGGGUGACCGGCCACAUUGGGACUGAGAUACGGCCCAGACGCCUACGGGAGGCAGCAGUGGGGAAUAGUGCACAAUGGGCGGAAGCCUGAUGCAGCAACGCCGCGUGCGGGAUGACGGCCUUCGGGCUGUAAACCGCUUUCGCGUGUGACGAAGCGUGAGUGACGGUAAUGGGUAAAGAAGCGCCGGCUAACUACGU
rnacentral:rRNA from 1 species